GAUAUUACAUGGUUACAGGAGUCUAUCCAUCGCAUGUAUGCUUCACUUCAAGGGACACCAUAGCAUAACCGUCGAGGCGAAGUAGGGACCUAAAAGAUCGAAUGGAUCCCUUAUGAAUUCCAAAGAAUUCUUUUAAUUUAAGAGAAUUCAUCAUUCGAAGGGAAUGAGACUACUCAAUAAUUCCACUUUGUCGUAAUUGAAUGAGUCAUUGAGGAGAAGAGAUGAAUCAAUGAAAUAUGGAUUGGCCCUCACAGAGAACUUGAGUAAGGAGUAGUUCUGGGAUUU
rnacentral:lncRNA from 1 species